rnacentral:rRNA from 1 species
AUUGAACGCUGGCGGCAGGCCUAACACAUGCAAGUCGAACGAGUGGCGGACGGGUGAGUAAUGUCUGGGAAACUGCCCGAUGGAGGGGGAUAACUACUGGAAACGGUAGCUAAUACCGCAUACCAUCGGAUGUGCCCAGAUGGGAUUAGCUUGUGGGUGGGGUAAAGGCUCACCAAGGCGACGAUCCCUAGCUGGUCUGAGAGGAUGACCAGCCACACGGGAACUGAGACACGGUCAAGACUCCUACGGGAGGGAGCAGUGGGGAAUAUUGCACAAUGGGCGCAAGCCUGAUGCAGCCAGGCCGCGUGUAUGAAGAAGGCCUUCGGGUUGUAAAGUACUUUCAGCGGGGAGGCGUUACCCGCAGAAGAAGCACCGGCUAACUCCGUGCCAGCAGCCGCGGUAAUUC